rnacentral:lncRNA from 1 species
AUUUUUACAAGUCCCUUUUUAAGCUUAGAAGGAUUCAAGAAGGUAGCUACUUGUGGAGCUUCAAGAAGGGCUUUGUCUUGCUUGUUCUUCAUCUUUUCUCAUCAUCCUCCUCAAUAGAUUCUACCCUAGCUAUAAGCUAGUAGUAAGCUCUUGUUUAACCUUUGUUCAUCUUAUUUUAUGGCUAACAUUGUAGACGUGAUUGACCGACCUUGACUGUUAGCGAUAUUUGAGAAUCUAACCGAGCAAACCGAGGUGAGUUCACACUUUUCUACAAAGCAUGGUAAAUUCCCGGUGGGAAUGGGAAUGGGUACAGGAAUAGGGAUUCCUCGUCCUUUGAGACGUGUUCAGGAAUGUAAAUUCCUCGUCCUGUUGGGACGUGUUAAACUUACUGGACUAGAACUCUAUCAGCGAAGUCCCUCCCUUUUUGUAUCGACUUAAUCGCCGAGGCUAUGGCGAGCGGGUCAUUAGUUAAUAGCGCUAUUAGGUUUAACAAACCUCACAC